rnacentral:rRNA from 1 species
GUAAGGAGUGCUGGAGCGCAUGGAAGAGCUUAUGCAGGCUUGAGUAGCGAUAAAACGAGUGAAAAACUCGUUCGCCGAAAGCCCAAGGGUUCCUGGGUAAAGUUAAUCUUCCCAGGGUUAGUCGGUCCCUAAGUCGAGGCCGAAGGGCGUAGAUGAUGGGAAGCAGGUUAAUAUUCCUGCACCACUAUGGGUGUUUCUGUAGAAGGGACGGAGAAAGGUACUCGAUCCGGGUUGGUGGAUUGCCCGGUUCAAGCCUGUAGGCGGAGGGACUAGGAGGCUUCGUGCCACAAACGGUCCCUUAUCUAACGCCGAGAGGUGAAGAGGAGAGCGCUAUGCGCUCAUAAACUCGACGAUCCUCAGCUUCCAAGAAAAGCUUCGACAGAGUCAACUCCUGUGGUGACCGUACCGGAAACCGACACAGGUGGGCGGGGUGAGAAUCCCAAGGCGCUUGAGAGAACCCUGCUUAAGGAACUCGCAAAAUGACACCGUAACUUCGGGAGAAGGUGUGCCCUCUGUACGUGAAGCCCCUUGCGGGUGGAGCGGAAGAGGGUUGCAGAGAAACGGGGGUAGCGACUGUUUACCAAAAACCCAGCACUGUGCGAAGUCGGAAGACGACGUAUACGGUGUGAUGCCUGCCCGGUGCCGGAAGGUUAAGGGGAGUUGUCAGCCGCAAGGCAAAGCAGCGAACCGAAGCCCCGGUAAACGGCGGCCGUAACCAUAACGGUCCUAAGGUAGCGAAAUUCCUUGUCGGGUAAGUUCCGACCUGCACGAAUGGCAUAACGACUUCCCCACUGUCUCGAGCAGGGACUCAGCGAAGUAGCACUAGGGGUGAAGAUACCCUUUACCCGCGGCAGGACGGAAAGACCCCGUGAACCUUUACUGUAACUUGGCACUGAACUUCGGGUUCGUUUGCGUAGGAUAGGUGGGACGCUAGGAAGCAUGGACUCCGGUCUGUGUGGAGCGGCCGUUGAAAUACCACCCUGACGAAUCUGGAGUUCUAACCUGCACCCGUGAGCCGGGUGGGGGACAAUGCCUGGUGGGCAGUUUGACUGGGGCGGUCGCCUCCCAAAGAGUAACGGAGGCGCGCGAAGGUUCCCUCAGGCUGAUUGGAAACCAGCCGACGAGUGUAAUGGCAUAAGGGAGCUUGACUGCGAGACUGACAAGUCGAGCAGGUGCGAAAGCAGGUCAUAGUGAUCCGGUGGUUCUGAAUGGAAGGGCCAUCGCUCAACGGAUAAAAGGUACUCCGGGGAUAACAGGCUUAUCACGCCCAAGAGUUCACAUCGACGGCGUGGUUUGGCACCUCGAUGUCGGCUCAUCGCAUCCUGGGGCUGAAGUUGGUCCCAAGGGUUUGGCUGUUCGCCAAUUAAAGCGGUACGCGAGCUGGGUUCAAAACGUCGUGAGACAGUUUGGUCCCUAUCCGCCGUGGGCGCAGGACGCUUGAGAGGAUCUGUCCUUAGUACGAGAGGACCGGGAUGGACGGACCGCUAGUGUUCCGGUUGUGGCGCCAGCUGCAAUGCCGGGUAGCUAUGUUCGGAAGGGAUAACCGCUGAAAGCAUCUAAGCGGGAAGCCCACCUCGAGAUAAGGCGUCCCUGAGACUUCGGUCUCCUGAAGACCCCGUGUAGACCACGUGGUUGAUAGGCUGGGUGUGGAAGCGCUGCAAGGCGCGGAGCUAACCAGUACUAAUCGGUCGUGAGGCUUGACCAC